rnacentral:RNase_P_RNA from 1 species
CGGGCAGGUCAGGCAGCCGCGGGGGCUUCGGCCCUCGAGGAAAGUCCGGACACCACAGAGCGAGGUGGUCGGGGAACCGACCCGGGGAAACCCGCGGGAAAGUGCCACAGAAACACACCGCCGAUGGCGCACCGGUUCGCCGGGGCGCACAGGCAAGGGUGAAAGGGUGCGGUAAGAGCGCACCGGCGUCGUGGUGACACGGCGGCCAGGCAAACCCCACCUGGUGCUAGGCCAAGCAGGACCGCUUGCAGGCUGCUCGCUAAGGUCCAGGUAGGCCGCAGAGAUGGAUGG